UUUUUGUGAACUGCAGGACACAUGAACACCGAUACGUUGAACGCAUAUGGCGCAUCGGACGUCUACAACCGGCCGAUGCACACAUUCUUGAGUGCCUACCAAAUCCUUGUUACACAAUUGCCUGACUACAGUGGUGCACGCGUGCAGCGACGAGAGUGCUAUGGCGAGACCCACGUCUAGUGCUGCUGACCAACACGCGCCUGCCCACUGUGCAUAAUGACGUGCUCGGGAAGCGAUUCUCGGGGGCGUUGAAUUACGAGCGAGAUGGGGGCGGUAUUCUGUUGCUACCGAACACCCCACGGGUGAUGAUGGCGCGUGUCACGCUGCGUGUUGCGAACUUCGGCAAGACGUCCUGACAGCCCCGGCAGACCUACACCAGGAUUGUCGGGCUCUGAAUCAGGGUCGAACGGCUUGCCGGGUCGCGUAAUGCGCGCAGCUGUGCUCGUGUCUUCGUAGCCCGAUAGGCAACCACCUGUAGCCUCAAGUGAUGUGAGACAACCCCCUGAAUUUAAGCAUAAAA
rnacentral:rRNA from 1 species